UACAGAGGGUGCGAGCGUUAAUCGGAAUUACUGGGCGUAAAGCGUGCGUAGACGGUUAUUUAAGCCGGGUGUGAAAGCCCCGGGCUCAACCUGGGAAUUGCAUUCGAGACUGAAUAGCUAGGGUACGGUAGAGGGAAGUGGAAUUUCCGGUGUAGCGGUGAAAUGCGUAGAUAUCGGAAGGAACAUCAGUGGCGAAAGCGACUUCCUGGACCAGUACCGACGUUCAGGCACGAAAGCGUGGGGAGCAAACAGG
rnacentral:rRNA from 1 species